rnacentral:misc_RNA from 1 species
GAUGAAGAACGCAGCGAAAUGCGAUAAGUAAUGCGAAUUGCAGAAUUUCCGUGAGUCAUCGAAUCUUUGAACGCACAUUGCGCCCACUGGUAUUCCGGUGGGCAUGCCUGUUCGAGCGUCAUUAUCCUCCCUCAAACCCCGGGUUUGGUGUUGGACCCAAGUUGUGUGAACAACUGGUCUCAAAGACAAUGACGGCGUCCGUGGGACCCUCGGUGCAACGAGCUUUUAGGAGCACGCAUCGAGUUGCAAGGACCUUACGGGCCGGUCUCCUUUACCAUUUUACAAGGUUGACCUCGGAUCAGGUAGGAAUACCCGCUGAACUUAAGCAUAUCAAUAAGCGGAGGA